GACAUGAUAGCUCAGUUUGGUAGAGCGACACACUAAAGAUGUGAUUGGUCCAUGUGUUCAAACCCAGGCCAUAUCA